rnacentral:rRNA from 1 species
UACAGGGGGUGCAAACGUUGCUCGGAAUCAUUGGGCGUAAAGCGCACGUAGGCGGUCUGUUAUGUCGGAUGUGAAAGCCCUUGGCUCAACUGAGGAAGUGCAUCCGAAACUGGCAGGCUAGAGUACUAAAGAGGAUCGCGGAAUUCCCGGUGUAGAGGUGAAAUUCGUAGAUAUCGGGAGGAACACCAGUGGCGAAGGCGGCCUUCUGGACCAAUACUGACGCUCAUGCACGAAAGCGUGGGGAGCAAACAGG